GAUCAGCCGACGACUGCAGCAUGCCAUGUUUGCCUCUCACACCCGCUUGUCAUGUAACCGAGGUGCACUGAAAUGCUGGGUUUUUGGAAUAACUCCUCUCCCAUUCGGCCUGGUUGAAGAAGUCAUAGAAGUGGCAGCCGAAGGUGAUGAAGACAAAGCCAAAAGCUAGGAAUCCAAAUAUACCUGUGUAGGUGAGUGAAGCUUCAAUUUCCACACACACCUCAGCGAUAGCCAGAAUGGCCACUGUGAGGAUGAAGGGGAUGGACCAGGUGACCAUGUGGAAGUAGGAGGUUCGGCCAGACAGGGGUUGGUGGGUGGUGCCCAGAGCCUUGAAGGACGUGUGCCAGGCGUAGGCUCCCCUCCCACACACCUGACAGCACCUGGGACCUCUCAACCAAGUGCCCCAAUCUGCUGCAAUCAUUGGCAGUCCAUUGUUAUGUCAAUUAUCUUCAUUAUCACAAGGAGCAAAAUAA